rnacentral:rRNA from 1 species
UACGAAGGGGGCUAGCGUUGUUCGGAAUUACUGGGCGUAAAGCGCGCGCAGGCGGUCUUCCAAGUCAGUGGUGAAAGCCCGGAGCUCAACUCCGGAACUGCCAUUGAAACUGUAAGACUUGAGGAUGAGAGAGGUGAGUGGAAUUCCCAGUGUAGAGGUGAAAUUCGUAGAUAUUGGGAAGAACACCCGUGGCGAAGGCGGCUCACUGGGCUGACCUUGACGCUGAGGCGCGAAGGCGUGGGGAGCGAACGGG